AUGCUGCGGGAAAUAGUGGCUCCGUGUUCGCACAGGCAAACAAUACAUCCUCUGUGGUCGUCGGGCCUUGAUCCCAGUAUCCUGAGUGCAGUCCUGUCGGCGUCGGUAGUGUCCGUCAUUUCGCGGUUCUUAGGAGGGUACUUGAGCCCCACUCCGCAGCGUCUGAAGUUGCUGGACGCGUACCUGCUGUACAUACUGCUGACCGGGGCGCUGCAAUUCGGCUACUGCCUCCUCGUGGGGACCUUCCCCUUCAACUCUUUUCUCUCGGGCUUCAUCUCUUGUGUGGGGAGUUCAUCCUAGCGGUUUGCCUGAGAAUACAGAUUAACCCACAGAACAAAGCGGACUUCCAAGGCAUCUCCCCAGAGCGAGCCUUUGCUGAUUUUCUCUUUGCCAGCACCAUCCUGCACCUUGUUGUCAUGAACUUUGUUGGCUGAAUCAUUCCCAUUUACUUAAUUGAGGCUAGGAGACUGAAAGAAUGUUGGCUCUUUGAAUUUCCUGGAUAAGAGUUCUAGAGAUGGCAGCUUGUUGGGCACACGGAUUUUCUUCAGAUUUGCACUUACUGCUAGCUCUGAUUUUUAUGCAGGAGAAAAAUCCAGAGUUCACUCUGUAGCAGAACAACUUUGUAACACACGUUUAUUAAUCCAACCUCUGCCUUUCAUUAAGUGUCACCUUUUGCCUUUGAAAUUAAC